rnacentral:rRNA from 1 species
UACAGGGGGGGCAAGCGUUGUUCGGAAUUACUGGGCGUAAAGGGCUCGUAGGUGGCCAACUAAGUCAGACGUGAAAUCCCUCAGCUUAACUGGGGAACUGCGUCUGAUACUGGAUGGCUUGAGUUUGGGAGAGGGAUGCGGAAUUCCAGGUGUAGCGGUGAAAUGCGUAGAUAUCUGGAGGAACACCGUGGCGGAGGAGGCGAUCCUGGACCAAUACUGACACUGAGGAGCGAAAGCCAGGGGAGCAAACGGG